ACGUAGGGUGCAAAUGUUAUCCGGAUUUAUUGGGCGUAAAGAGCUCGUAGGUGGUUUUGAAAGUCAGAUCUUAAAUAUCCAGGCCCAACCUGGGGAAUGUAUCUGAAACUUCAUUACUUGAGGUGUGCAGGGGAAGAUGGAACACACAGUGUAGCAGUGAAAUGCGUAGAUAUUGUGUGGAACGCCAAUGGUGAAGACAGUCUUCUGGGCACAUUCUGACACUGAGGAGCGAAGGCGUGGGGGGCGAACGGGAUUAGAUACCCCGGUAGUCCACGCCGUAAACGAUGCAUACUAGGAAUUCGGAGAAUCGACCCUCUGAGUUUCGAAGCUAACGCGUUAAGUAUGCCGCCUGGGUAGUACGGCCGCAAGGCUA
rnacentral:rRNA from 1 species